UGCCAGACUCCUACGGGAGGCAGCAGUGGGGAAUAUUGGGCAAUGGAGGAAACUCUUACCCAGCAAUGCCGCGUGAAUGAAGAAGGUCUUCGGAUUGUAAAGUUCUUUAAUUGGGGACGAGAAAAAUGACGGUACCCAAGGAAUAAGCCCCGGCUAACUACGUGCCAGCAGCCGCGGUAAUACGUAGGGGGCAAGCGUUAUCCGGAUUCACUGGGUGUAAAGGGAGCGUAGACGGCGACGCAAGUCUGGAGUGGAAGCCCGGGGCCCAACCCCGGGACUGCUCUGGAAACUGCGUCGCUGGAGUACGGGAGGGGCAGGCGGAAUUCCUGGUGUAGCGGUGAAAUGCGUAGAUAUCAGGAGGAACACCGGCGGCGAAGGCGGCCUGCUGGACCGUGACUGACGUUGAGGCUCGAGAGCGUGGGGAGCAAACAGGAUUAGAUACCCUAGUAGG
rnacentral:rRNA from 1 species